ACGCGUACCCAUCCCGAACACGACCGUUAAGCCCUCCAGCGCCGAUGGUACUUGGACCGCAGGGUCCUGGGAGAGUAGGACGUCGCCAAGC
rnacentral:rRNA from 1 species